CGGAGUAAUAUUUUCAUGUUUUUCUUCUGUGUACACGUGUGUACAUGAGUUUGCACGUAGUGUACAUAUACACGUACGACGCACCUGCGGUGCAACGUCGGUGCAUUUGCCAACGCAUUUGUGCCGGUUUCGCAGUUUCGGGUAAUUUGUUUGCACACAUGUGAGGUCGCAAAGGGUUAAACUCCAAAAGUCACGUGGAGUAGCUGGAUUUAUAGGGAGAUUAAUCUUGAUUCAUUUUGGACAUCCUAAUCAGGGCUCGAGCAGGGUCUGAUAAGGAGACAAACAUAACAUCAUACACCUGUUGUAAUGGCAUCACCCACCAGUGAGUUAUUUCCCAAAGAUGUGUUCUCGACCAUGGAAGAUGAUAAUGCAGUACUCGCAAAAUGUCAAAGCAUUGCAUUGGAUAUUCAAGAAGGGCGUAUUAAAUUCCUUGCUGUUGUCAACGAGCUGGAACAUUUUCUGACAAAUAAGGAUGUCAACUUACGAGAGAAGGGAGUCAGAAUUCUUUCUACUACAUUAGGUCUUUUGCCUACAGAUUUUUUUAAUGAAUCUGAACUGGAAUUUAUAACGUUAUUUUAUUGCGAUAGAAUGAAGGAUCACCAUAAUAUUCUGCCUGCUGUGUUUCAAGGAGUUCUAUCAAUUGUACAAAUGAGUUGCCUCCCACAAAAUGCACCUCAUGGUUUACUUACUGCCUUGUUUCAACAUGUACAGUGUCAAUCUCAGAUAAAGCAAGACCGAAGAAAUGUAUACCUCUUGUUUAAAACUCUGAUUCAGAAGAGAGGCGACAGCUUGAAAGCUAUGGGAACAGAAUUUAUUUAUGGUUUCAUAAGUUUCAUCGAUGGAGAACGUGAUCCUAGAAAUCUCAUGUUACUUUUUAAUAUAAUUCCAAUCUUUGCAAAAGAAUUUCCCAUUGGUCAGCUGACAGAAGAGUUAUUUGAAGUCAUCGCCUGCUAUUUUCCCGUUGACUUCAAUUCCUCUGGAAACGAAGGUCGUGACAUCACCCGUGAUAGGCUUGCCGAAGCACUGGCUCCAUGCCUCUAUGCGAUUCCAGAAUUUGCAGAAUUUUGCUUACCUCUUGUAAUCGAUAAGUUAAACUCAGCAUUGAAGACAGCCAAAUUAGAUUCUUUGACAUUGCUGAGCAAUGGAGUUUCUACAUUUGGAGCAAAAGGGUGUCAACCCCACUUGGAUGAAUUGUGGCCACUCAUUAGAAGAGAAAUCAUGCCCGGAAAUGAUUUGGAGUUAAAGAAUGCCAGUCUGAAAGCUCUAGGAAAAAUCGUCGAGACUUUAUCUAGUACCGAUUUAGACAGAGAAGAAUUUAUCGAGAAGAUCUUGACGGAUACAAAAUCAUCUCUGUGUGAUGUGCAAUUAAGCCUCUUUUGGCCUGCAGAAAAAAUACUGGAAAUUAUAGCUAAUACAAACAAAGAAGCGUGCGUACAAGUGCUUCGAAGCAUUAUUCCAUUAUGCCUUGGACAAUACUCAACGAAAACAUCUUUUGUUGAUAAAACUAUCAUAAUGGAAACUAUAAAUAAUUUCAUAAGAAUUUCUGAUGCUUUCGGAUUUUCUAUCAAAAGUGUUCCAGAAUUGGCUUGGACAGAUUUACCGUUACUCUAUCUAAAUGAGUUAAAUACUGAGGCUGAAGAAUUGCAGUCAAAGGUAUUACAGGGUCUGAUUGCACAAAAAUCUUAUUUAAACGAUGUACAUCGUGCAACUUUAUAUGAAGUCAUUUGUAAAAAAAUUGAUUUUACCAGUAACGAGGUGGAAACAGUAUGUUGCUCGUGUCUCUUGGCAUUUGCUACAUUGUACCCAGGUGAAGUUUUAAAUGUCGUGACUGAAAAACUGUCCAUUGAUGUCGAAGACAUAACGGUGCCAAUACUGACACGCAGGUUGAAAGCACUUUCUAUCGUUGCUAAAGUACCAGAAAUAGGACAUGAAGUUCUUCCAAAAAUUGUUGCUGCUACAGCUGCGCGUGAUGUCGAACUGGGCCUUACAGCAUUGUCUUGCCUGUGCAGAUUAGUUGCUGAGAAAAAUGGAGGUCAUUUCGACAUUAACAAAUAUCUCCAUGAUAAUUGCAAUGUUAUCGAAAGGCUACUCCUUUCGGAGAGCGGUGACACUUAUGAAAGGUUGCACUUAAUUUCAAAGAUUUGUCGAUCGAUUGUAAGACGACUUGAUAUCGAAUCCCAGCAGGCAGUUUUAAAUAAGUAUGGCACCCUUGUAAAUAAACGUUCAUUAGAAAGCAGUGUCAUUUUACUAGAAGGGAUAAUAACACCCUUGCGGCCAAAUGUAAUUGUACCAAAGAUUGACGAGUUGCUGAAUAACUUGUGUAAUUUAGCCAUCGAAAGCAGCGAUGUCGACUGUAAAAAUACUGCUUGUAAAUUGAUUUCUGUACUUAUUAACAAAAUGGCCGAAGAUGAACACAUUGAAAAACUGUUAAACCGUUUGAGAGAGCGAAUCAUGGAAAUCUUAAACAACAGCGAUGCCAGUAUCGAAGUUACAAAAGCUGCUGCUACUUUACACGUCUGGCUGACAAAAGCAUUAAUUAUGAAGGGGAGUCGAAUUUCUCAAGACUUAUUGAACUAUCAUAUCAGAUCUUCUUCAAGCAGAGGAUAUUUCAAAACCUAGUUCAAGCAAGACACCUCUUUACAUCCGACUCUAGAGAAAAUUAUUUAAUAGCUGUAACGCAUUUGUUAGAAGAAGUGCCCACCGAAUUGCUUUUCAUGUACUUGAACGAGCUAGUCUCACUCCUUCAGGAAUCUCUUAAUUUACAUAAUACCCAGUUAGUUCUGUCGACUCUGAUUGCCUUGAAACUGUUGCUGGAUACUAAUAACGAGAUCUUCGCCGACCAAGUACAAAAUUUUAUUCCAAAAUUGU
rnacentral:misc_RNA from 1 species